ACAGCGCCUGCCGCGUAGUCAGCCAGAGAGCGCGCCAGGCGGCAGCGAAAGAGGCAGUGGCUCCCGCCGUCACAGCGUUGGGGCUGGGGCGAUGGCGGCGACCGCGGUGGCUGCAGGGGCGGGGGCCGUGGCGGGAACCGAGUCGGCCCAGGGUCCCCCGGGCCCGGCAGCGGCGCUGGAGCUGUGGCUCAACAAAGCCACAGACCCAAGCAUGUCGGAACAGGAUUGGUCAGCUAUCCAGAAUUUCUGUGAGCAGGUGAACACUGACCCCAAUGGCCCCACACACGCGCCAUGGCUACUGGCCCACAAGAUCCAGUCUCCGCAAGAGAAGGAAGCUCUUUAUGCCUUAACGGUGCUGGAGAUGUGCAUGAACCACUGUGGGGAGAAGUUUCACGGCGAGGUGGCCAAAUUCCGUUUCCUGAACGAGCUCAUCAAAGUGUUGUCCCCAAAGUACCUGGGGUCCUGGGCCACAGAAAAAGUUAAAGGAAGAGUCAUUGAAAUACUCUUUAGUUGGACAGUAUGGUUUCCUGAAGACGUCAAGAUCCGAGACGCCUAUCAGAUGCUGAAGAAACAAGGAAUUAUAAAACAAGACCCUAAACUACCAGUGGAUAAAAUCUUACCCCCACCAUCUCCCUGGCCCAAGAGCUCCAUCUUUGAUGCUGAUGAAGAAAAGUCCAAGCUUCUGACGAGGCUUCUGAAAAGCAGCCACCCCGAGGACCUUCAGGCUGCAAACCAGUUGAUCAAGAAUUUGGUCAAGGAGGAGCAAGAAAAAUCGGAGAAGGUGUCCAAGAGGGUCAGUGCAGUGGAGGAAGUGCGAAGCCAUGUGAAGGUACUGCAGGAGAUGCUGAGCGUGUACCGCAGGCCAGGGCAGGCCCCGCCUGACCAGGAGGCCCUGCAGGUUGUAUAUGAGAGGUGUGAAAAGCUGAGGCCCACCCUGUUCCGGCUGGCAAGUGACACCACUGAUGACGAUGAUGCACUUGCGGAAAUUCUCCAGGCAAAUGACCUCCUCACCCAAGGAGUUCUGCUGUACAAACAGGUGAUGGAGGGCCGGGUCACCUUUGGAAACACAGUGACCAGCUCAGUGGGAGACAUCCCUGUCUCUAGAGUCUUUCAGAAUCCAGCAGGCUGCAUGAAGACCUGCCCCUUGAUUGACUUGGAGGUGGACAAUGGACCUGCACAGGCGGGGACUGUGGCGCCAUCUUUGCUUCAUCAGGACCUGGCAGCCUUGGGAAUCAGUGAUGCUCCUGUUACAGGCACGGUUGCUGGUCAGAAUUGCUGUGAGGAAAAGAGGAAUCCCUCCGCCAGCAUGCUGCCAGGUGGUAGCAUUCAGAACCCUUCUGCAGACAGGAAUUUGCUGGACCUCCUCUCACCACAGCCAGCUCUGGGCCCUCUGAAUUAUGUUUCACAGAAAAGUAUCCCAAAGGAAGUGCCUCCAGGUACUAAGUCCUCUCCAGGUUGGUCCUGGGAGGCUGGCCCAUUGGCUCCUUCCCCGUCUUCACAGAAUACACCUCUGGCUCAAGUAUUUGUCCCUUUGGAGUCUGUUAAGCCCAUGGUGUUAACCUUCGGCUCGGGCCCUCUCCACCAGGCAGCCUGCCGCCUCUCAUUGUGUAUGACCGGAACGGAUUCAGAAUUCUGCUCCACUUCUCCGAGACGGGAGCCCCUGGCCACCCAGAGGUGCAAGUGCUGCUCUUGACCAUGAUGAGCACGGCUCCCCAGCCUGUCUGGGAUAUCAUGUUUCAAGUGGCUGUGCCAAAGUCAAUGAGAGUGAAGCUGCAGCCGGCCUCCAGCUCUAAGCUUCCUGCAUUCAGUCCUUUGAUGCCUCCAGCUGUGAUAUCUCAGAUGCUGCUGCUGGACAAUCCACACAAAGAACCUAUCCGUUUACGGUACAAGCUAACAUUCAACCAAGGUGGACAGCCUUUCAGCGAAGUAGGAGAAGUGAAAGACUUUCCAGACCUGGCUGUCUUGGGUGCAGCCUAACUUCAUAAGACAGACCCUUCAUUUCAAGCUUAGGAUGAUGUUACUUUUGCUGUCUAGUCAGGACUAAUCACAGUGUUUCAGUGCAGUGCCAAGAGUCCUAUCCUGACGUCAGGCUCUGGGUGUCAACCUCUGACUUAACUCUGCAGAUGGGUGUGUGUGUGUGUGUGUGUGUGUCUAGGUGUGUCUGGUUGUCAACCUCUGACUUAUUUUGUAGAUGCUAUGUGUGUGUGUGUCUGGGUGUCAACCUGACUUAUUCUGUAGAUGCUGUGUAUGUGUGUCUAGGUGUGUCUGGGUGUCAGCCUCUGACUUACUCUGCAAAUGGUGUGUGUGUGUGUGUGUGUGUGUGUGUGUGUGUGUGUGUGUGUGUGGUUGGGGGAGAGGGUGGUAGCGCAGGGCUUGGGAUAUCAGCAGUAUCAUCAUCUCUGCUACAAUCAUGUUUCUACAUGUCAGCAGACACUGUCCCUGCCUCAGGUUGGAGGUUUUAUAAGCCAAAGUUUUUUUUCCAUGUAUUGUUCAUUCCAUUAAUCCACUCUGUGCCUUGUCAGCCUUUGAAAGUCUUGGUUGCUCCCAGGCUGCUGUUCUCAGGGACCUUAAAAGGGACCUGGUUAGUCUUGGGGCAGAGAGUAUCUUCUGCGGCACUCUCUUCCAAGAAAGACCUUGUCUCCAUUUUCAUUAGACAAUGCUUCUUGUGUGUGUUCUGGAAGAUCUUCUAAAUGGAAUGCUUGUUGCACUGUUCCCAGGUGAGUGGCUGCCAUGAGACCUGAGGACCACGCUUGGGGGACCAAUCAUGUCCUUCACCACUGUGCCUUAGAAUUGCCCCAAGACAGACCUUUGGGCAGAGGGGAGAGCAGCUCCCAGGCCUUAUUCAGGUCUCAGGUCCAUGGGUUGGGCAGCCAGUCUGGGCCCUUCUCAGGACCCUCAUCUCCAUCCUCACUUACCCUCUUCACAGCAUUUGCUUGGAGCUCUUUGUGAAGGACACCAUGUUGGUCAUGGCGAAUUGGCCAACAGCCAGCCUUUGCCAGUUAACAUCACAGUCUAAGAUGGGGAACUGUGGUGCAGAGAGACAUGAAGAGAGCUUAGCAGUGAUUGAGGUGGUGACAAAAUAUAGUCAUUGAAUAAAUACCAUGUAGCAAAUGUACUUUGUAGAGUUUUGAGUAAGUUGUGUUUAGUGAUGAUAGGCCUAAAGGGAAAUAUCUUCUGUCCAGAAGUAAAAGAAACUUUAUGAAGGAUGUAGAAGCUUAACUGCCUCUGUGAAGAAAGAACCUGAAGAUCUGAGGAAAGCUGGACAGGAGAGGUGGAUAUUGCAUUUGUAAUAUGUCAGAAAAAUUCGAGUUUAUAUUAGUGACCACUUACUGUGUGCUAGGAACUUGAAUGUGUGUUGACAAGUCCUGCUUGGCCUGAUCGGUGGGAGAAAGAACCUGAGGCUGGCUGAGAUGGCCAGGCGGAGGGCUUUGAAGUCCAAGCAACUGACCUGGCUGGGUGGGUUUCUACCUCCGAAACUGCAAGGUCUGUUUGGAGCUCUUAAUCACAAUAUCUGAUAUUUUUACAGUGUGAUCUUUUGACUUCUACAUAUAGUGGAAAUCUGCCAACACUAAUUGGUGGAGAUGGGAACUGUAAGAGAUCAGGUAUGCUAAUUUUAAGCAAAUGUGAAAGCUCAUAAGACA